AUGAUGAAGGUAACAUUUCUCUUGUUCUCUCUCUUCCAGCUGGCAAGGUCAGAGAGCAGCGGUGGUGUUGCGGAGGGCUGCAGGGCUCAGAUCAGUGUUCCGCAGACAGAUAGCUCAUCUGCAGGAAGGAGUAGAGUCAGCAGCAGGCCUCAGGUCAAGAGAUUCUCUGGAAGUCUCGCCACACCUGUAUGUAAACCCUGACUGACCCAGUGGAGGCCCUCUGAGGUCUGACACUCCACCUGUGGAUAGUGAUGUGGGGUCUGGAGCGGACACCUAAAUGGAUGUUAGUGCAUGGGCCAUUAGUCUGGCACUUUAGAGAUCUAAGUCCUUCAUCCUCAGCACCCUCAUCCUCUUCCUACUUGCUGCUUUACUAUUUACCCGUGACCUUUGCCCUCCUGGUGACCACCACUUCAAGCUCCACAUGAGACUGAGCCACCUCACCAGUCUUCCAUCAUCCAGACCCUGUCUAAAAGUACACAUAAACCUCUUCUAUCAUAUCCCUGAUGAUACUAAACCUGAUCAGCCAGCUAGCGACAUCUAAGCAGGUUUAGCUGUUUCAUGCCUAAACGUCAAGACAUGUUAUUUGAGAGUCGCUCCAUCAAUCAGUAAUGUGGUCCUAAUCAGCCUUGAUUGAGACGUGACGUUGUGGUCUCUCACGUGGAGGUUAUCAAACAGGCUUCACGUUACUCUCUAGCCGACUGAAGUAGCGCCACAGUUUCUAUGCAACACGACGGUUGUGUGAUGUUGUGUGGCAUGUGAUCUUUGGCAGUUUGAUGCGAAACCUUUUUUUUAUUACUCCCUGAUAAACAAAGAAAUGUAUAAACUUUUUGUGCCUUGCAGUUACUACAUUUUGUGAAACACUGCUUCACCCCCUCAUGUGUCCUGUGAUCGUGAGAAAGCAGACGUGUGGCAAGGCUGAAAAUGAUGAAUGGGCAUCUGUAAAUAUGUAAACUGUACGUUCAAAUCCUGGUGUAUAAUGAUGUCAUAUUACUUCAUGGUCGUGAUCCUGUUUGUGUUACGUGUCGUGGAUAAAUAGCUACUGUUAGACUGCAUGGUGAACUAUGUACAAGAAAACUUCCAUAAAUAAACUUAAUUUAAUGAACUCA
ensembl:lncRNA